rnacentral:lncRNA from 1 species
GCAAUGUGUAUUUGUUGGGUUUCAUGUUGCAAAAUUUCUAAUUUUAUAUCAUGUUGGAUGCUGUUUGUCUUGUCGUCGUUUUUUAUUUUUCCUUAUGGAUGUCUCGUUGUUUUUUUACCUUUGGGUUUGAUUUUUCUUGGUGCAUCUUUGGUCUCUCCUAUACGAUUCGUAGUUCGUAUAGAUAUCGGGUAUUAGUCGAGUAGGUCUUAGAUUCAAAAUAAUAAUGGUCGCAGUAAUCGGGAAGCGAUCGGGAGUUUGUCGGUUUAAUCUUAAUCAGAGAUCACACAACAUGACAAUGAUCGAGACAC